ACUCGUGUGUGCUUCCUGUUAUGCCUCAGGAAGUGAGCUUGGUGGUUUGCGUUCACACUUGUUGACACAACCAGCGUCGCGUGAGCAGUGAAAGAAAACUUCCGAAAGCCACGAUGAAGCCCUUGACUGAAAAUCCCAACGGGAUCCCAGGACACGUAAAGGAAUCGCAGCUUCGGUCCAAUCCACCCGCCCUGGAGACUUUCGCAGAUUGCCUGGCCCGUGACAUCAUCGGUGAGCUCCUGCAAGCCGAAAGCAGCCGAGGGGGCGACCGAGCGAGUAACGGAGACGCAGUUGAUGCACUCGCUCGCCAGCUGGCUGAAAGCAUCAUCACCUCCUCACUUCAUCGAGUUUAAAUCCGACAACGCGACACGUGACGUCAUUCCAGUGUUUUGCAUUUUCAAUAAAGUUCAUCCAAAGAGAG